rnacentral:rRNA from 1 species
CCUACGGGUGGCUGCAGUAGGGAAUAUUGGUCAAUGGGCGAAAGCCUGAACCAGCCAUGCCGCGUGUCAGAUGAAGGUCCUCUGGAUUGUAAAUGACUUUUCUACGAGAAGAAUGAGCCGUCUGCGGACGGAAGUUGACGGUACCGUAGGAAUAAGCACCGGCUAACUACGUGCCAGCAGCCGCGGUAAUACGUAGGGUGCAAGCGUUGUCCGGAUUUACUGGGUUUAAAGGGUACGUAGGCGGUUGUGCCAAGUCUGGGGUGAAAGUUUGCAGC